GAAAUAGUAGUUGUAGCUAAUUCUUGAGCCGGUGGCUCCCCGCCAUGAAGUGCGACGGCAUUGGUUGCAGCUUGAGAUGGUGCGUUGUCUGAAGGCAAGGCCCUCAGGAGGAAGUCAGAUCUG